AUGCCUAGCUGGUGAAGCGUAGGAGCUCUAGGAGAGCAAAGCUGUAGCCAUGCAGAUGGGGUUGGAGCAUUGCCUGUGGUAUGGAGGUCACUUGGCGUUCAGUCGCCAGAUGCCCCGUGCAAUAUGGGCUGUCCUGUACUUACUGCUCAGACCGCAAGCCGCAUUUGAAGGGAUGACAAGCCAUGGCUUUCUUGCACUUUGCUGCAACAUAUUAAAUCCCACAUGUGUAAUGCAAUUCUCCCAUGCCACAGCACACCCAAGGCAUUGGGCUUGAAGACACUGCACGAAAGAAAAUGUAUGUCUCUAGGUCUGCUCAACAUUUACUGUCUGACAGCCCUGUUUAACUCACCUCCAGCAGGAUCUGCUUCAAGCUGCUUAUCAAAAGCUGUGUUUCCCAUGUGGGGACUUGCCUCUCAGUUAGUUUUUCAACUGAGUUUCUUUUCAAAAGAACAAAAAAAAGAAGGGACAGAAGACAAGCAACUUGCCCUCUGAGGAGCUGGGUGGGGAAGGUGUUGGUGGAGCAUCCUCAGUGUCAUGUAAGAAGAGAGAGCCACUGCUGGACAACUUGUUCUAGAGACAGGAAGCUGCAUCUGAAUGUGAUGGAAGAUGUUCACGACUGUCUUGGCAAAGGGAUGUCAGGCUUCAUACAGCUGUUUCCUCAACUGACUCAGGAAGAAAGAUUCUCACUCCUUAUAGGCUUCUACUUCUUGGUGCUGGUAGUUGCAAUUCCAAGACGUGAAGACUUUUGCCACAGGCUCUCUGGAAGAGCUGCUGUUAAAACCUCUGCAUGUUGGCAGGUAGAUCACAGGGUUAUCUCAGUGGCCUGCAGUAAUGCUCCUGGGGACAGACACCAUCCCUUGCCUUCAGUGCUAGAUGUUGUUCCAUUCAUCCAGUGGUGUUUCUCUUACCCUGUUUUCAAGAGGGACAAAAUAUGGCAUUAAUGAGGAUAUACUAGUAUGAAAACUACAGAGUCCCAAAGAGAAUAAACUGUCCAGAAUCUUGCACCAGAAAUGGAGACAAAGGGUAGCUGAAAUUCUGGAAGUUGCCCACUUUGCCUUAGAGAUCAUUGCCAGCAGCCUACAUCUGUACACCACAUGAGCAAGUGAGAAAGUAUCUUUGAGAAGGGUGUAAUGUUGGUCCUGUGUCAAUAAUGGAUCUAGUCCAAGGUACUGAAGCAUCUGCUCUAUAUUUCAGUAUUUCAUUUCCUACUCUUGUAAGGAUGUUCAAGUAAGUGAGCAUCCACACCUAAAAGACUGCAUUUGAAAGAGCAGCUAAGAUGUGGUCACCACCAGCCAAAAUACUCGCUAUGCUAGCCUGUAGUUUGGACUCUCCUCCAGGUAAUGUGUCAGUCUCAGAAUCAAAUGAUCACCACAUGUAGGUCUAUAAAGCUCCUAAAUCAGCUGUGUAGAGAGGCACUCUGCAAUGGUUAUUGCUGGAUGGUUAAGUGCCAGUGCAGGUGAAUUAAAUUAUUAUUGGUUCCAA